AACGAAACUGACUGAAGGCGAAAUGUCAUUUAUUUCAUUGGUUCAAAACAAAAUACAGAUUUUAUUUGACAUUUGUUUAGGUUUUGAAUUCUGUGCAAUAUCUUGGCCAAAAAUGAAUUAAGCUAAUCAUUUAAUUAAAUAUCAAGUUCUAUUUACUCCGGCGAGACCUUCUGAAUUUAUCCUGAAACGUUCACCUUGUUUGAACAUUAGAAUGACUGUCUAUUGACAAAGGGAAAAUCAAAAUGGCAGGAAUGUCACCAUCAGAGAGAAGAUUACAAAAAGAAUUGAUGUCUCUUAUGAAAGAGCCUCCACCAGGGGUUACUGUAGAUGCUGAAAUUGCUGAGCAAAAUUUAUUACAUUGGAUCAUUCGAAUGGAAGGUGUAUCAGGUACUUUGUAUGAAGGGGAACAAUUUGAAUUGCAGUUCAAAUUCAGCAAUAAGUAUCCUUUUGAUUCACCAGAGGUGACCUUUGUCGGAAAUAACAUUCCAGUACAUCCACAUGUAUAUAGUAAUGGUCAUAUAUGCUUAUCGAUUUUAACUGAUGACUGGUCACCUGCUUUAUCUGUGCAGUCUGUUUGCCUUUCUAUAGUUUCAAUGCUCAGUAGUUGUAAAGAGAAGUCUUGUAUUUUUUAGAAAAGGCCUCCAGACAACGCAUUUUACGUUAAAACCUGUAAUAAAAAUCCAAAGAAAACAAAAUGGUGGUAUCAUGAUGACUCAGUUUGAAAAAUAUAAUUAUACUACUUAAAAUUGUGAUUUAUUUAUCUCUAUUGUAGGUCUUUAUAUUUUAUAUCAUAUUCCUUUAUUGAUUCAUGAAAUUUAUAGGAAACAUUGAAAUUUCAAUAGUGCCUGCCAUGGAUGUAUCUAUUUAUGUUAUUGGAGAAUAAAGUGUUUUUGACCGUU